AAUUAACUGUGCAAACGCCACCAAAAAAGUUAAAGGUGUCAAUAAAAAUAUUUCCUUUCACCUUUUUCCGAAAUAUUCUCUUGUGAAAAAAUAAAUGGAUUGAAGCAACGGGUCGUAAAAACUGGUUUCCUACGAAACACAGGCUGAUUUGUUCCAUACAUUUUCACGAAGAUACGUUUACUGGCCCAUCAAAGUUUCGGCGAAUAAUGUUAAGUGGUUGAGGAGUUCCUUCCCUCUCUAUCAUUAGCUCAGCACCAUGAUACUAGAAUUUUAUAUUGUCACCUGACUUGCACAUGUAUGCAAACUUUCAGCUCAAUAAGUUGAGUAAAACUACUUUAAUAUUCAAUUGCAAGAUUUGAUACAUACAUACAUUCAUAUACACAUGCAUACUAAUGAAGUUUAAGUUAAUAAAAAGCUUGUAAAAAUUAA